rnacentral:rRNA from 1 species
UACAGAGGGCCCAAGCGUUGUUCGGAUUCACUGGGCGUAAAGGGUGCGUAGGCGGUUCCGCAAGUCCUGUGUGAAAUCUUCGGGCUCAACUCGAAGUCUGCACGGGAAACUGCGGGGCUUGAGUGUGGGAGAGGUGAGUGGAAUUCCCGGUGUAGCGGUGAAAUGCGUAGAUAUUGGGAAGAACACCGGUGGCGAAGGCGGCUCUCUGGACCGUAACUGACGCUGAGGCGCGAAAGCGUGGGGAGCAAACAGG